rnacentral:lncRNA from 1 species
UUCUGUCUGUCUUAGAGAAAGCCCUAAAGAGCAUCCUGUCUCAAAUCAGGCCCAUCCCACGCCCCCAUCCCUUCUUUUCCCCUGAUCAGUUUUUUCUUACAGCGUGGUUCUGCUCACUUGGUGUCCCUCUGUCUGUCCACCCGUGUGUCCACUCCAGAGGUCAGAGGUGGGGCUUUAUUCACCUUUUGUUUCCAGCUUCUAGGACAGUCCCAGGCAAGUGUAUUGUAAGCUCACGAUUAUUGCCUGCUGGAAAAAAGGAGAGAACAUGCAAAGGGUGUAUUUUUACAGUCAGGGGUAAAUAGGAAAGGAUAAACAUCUGAAAACCAUCUUCAGUUCUGGAGCGCCCCCAUCUUGCUGUAGAAAUGAACACAACAUAUUAUGCUAGUUCGGUGUCCUUAAGCUAUCCGGCCCCUUGACUCCCUAGUAGGGUGCUAGAUAAUAUGCAGGAUGCCCAGUUAAGUUUAAAUUGCAGAUACGCAACAGGCAAUUUUUAGUAUAAGUAUGUCCCAUGCAAUAUUUGGAAUACAUGUAUGCUGAAAAUUACUUCUCAUAUUUUUAAUUUGCUACAUUUGGCAACCGUACCCCCUAGUUUCCUGGUAUACGUUGGCCAUAUGCAAGGACCUUUCAACGUUCUCUACAGUUUUCCUAAAAGAAAUCUGAGCUCUAAUGUCAGCCUUGCCCCUGGUAAUACAGUACCGCUGAUUAGAGCCAAGGUUCAUUCAGAACUUUUUUUGGACUGAAAUAUAUAUCAUGAAAUUCAUAUCAUGAACUCUUUAGGGGAGAGUUGCAUUUGUAUAUACAACUCUCCCCUAAACCCUAACUCUUUUUCUCCCUCCCAAGAAAACAUUAAAUAGAAAUAAGAAUGACUAUUACAGGAAUAACCUUGAGCCCUUCUGAUUUAUUAUUUGAAACAAAUCAUUUGCAGGUUCAGACUUUAUCAUUGCAACCAAGCUUAGCAAAUGACUCGAGACACCCCUCUCAGAUGGUCUGGCAUUACCCUGCAGAUGCAUGUGGAAGUUGAGGGUGGGUGGCUUAGAUUUUAGUGCUAGAAAAUGAGGAUUGUGGAUUUUAUUUUAUGUAAGAGAUGUGUUGUUUUCUUUGCAAGAGAAAACAUAUCUUGGACCCAAAGAAGACUUUUCUAAAGAGAUAGAGAUGACUCAGUAAAAGCCCGCCUCAUUACGAGAAAAACAACCCAAAACAUGUAUAUUAUUAAGAGUGGCUUAACAGUCUCAUUUUUACAUGUAACAAAGUGAAAGCAAAAUUUAACUCCACUGAGAGAGCCAUUUAAGUGGUUAUAGUGACCAGAUGAGAACAUGUCCUGGAUUUAAAAAAAAAAAAAAA